GGGUGGUAUUCCAUCUAAGCUNAAUACCGGCCGGAGACCGAUAGCGCACAAGUAGAGUGAUCGAAAGAUGAAAGCACUUUGGAAGAGAGUCAAACAGCACGUGAAAUUGUUGAAAGGGAAGCGUUGACCCCCAGACCUGCCCGCGGGCGACCACCUGCCGAUUCGUCGCGGGGCAACCGCCCGCGGACCGGCCAGCACGGGUCCGGGCGGCGGGAGAAAGCGCCCGGGAAUGUAGCUCCCCCCUCGGGGGGCGCCUUAUAGCCCGGGUGGCCAUGCCGCCCGCCCGGACCGAGGACCGCGCCACCGGCGAGGGUGCUGGCGUAAUGGGGGCCAGCGGCCCGUCUUGAAACACGGACCAAGGAGUCUAACGUCCCUGCGAGUGUUCGGGCGUCAAACCCCGGCGCGGAAUGAAAGUGAACGGAGGUGAGAUCCU
rnacentral:rRNA from 1 species